GAAAAGGAAGACGCACACUCCUCCCAGCUGCAAAUAACGUUUCACCAUCAAAGUGCGAACAUAAACAGGUCUCUGUCUUCGUUUUGACCACGUCGGUAGCAGAUGCACCGUGGAAGGCUGUAAGUUACAGUCGUGUCGACUAUU